rnacentral:rRNA from 1 species
AGUGAACGCUGGCGGUAGGCCUAACACAUGCAAGUCGAACGGCAGCACAGUAAGAGCUUGCUCUUACGGGUGGCGAGUGGCGGACGGGUGAGGAAUACAUCGGAAUCUACUUUUUCGUGGGGGAUAACGUAGGGAAACUUACGCUAAUACCGCAUACGACCUACGGGUGAAAGCAGGGGAUCUUCGGACCUUGCGCGAUUGAAUGAGCCGAUGUCGGAUUAGCUAGUUGGCGGGGUAAAGGCCCACCAAGGCGACGAUCCGUAGCUGGUCUGAGAGGAUGAUCAGCCACACUGGAACUGAGACACGGUCAAGACUCCUAAGGGAGGCAGCAGUGGGGAAUAUUGGACAAUGGGCGCAAGCCUGACCCAGCCAUACCGCGUGGGUGAAGAAGGCCUUCGGGUUGUAAAGCCCUCUUGUUGGGAAAGAAAAGCAGCAGGUUAAUACCCAGCUGUUCUGACGGUACCCAAAGAAUAAGCACCGGCUAACUUCGUG